UACGUAGGGGGCUAGCGUUGUCCGGAAUCAUUGGGCGUAAAGAGCGUGUAGGCGGCCCGGUAAGUCCGCUGUGAAAGUCGGGGGCUCAACCCUCGGAUGCCGGUGGAUACUGUCGGGCUCGAGUACGGAAGAGGCGAGUGGAAUUCCUGGUGUAGCGGUGAAAUGCGUAGAGAUCCGGAAGAACACCAGUGGCGAAGGCGGCCCGCUGGGCAGUGGCUGACGCUGAGGCGCGACAGCGGUGGGGAGCAACAGG
rnacentral:rRNA from 1 species